UUUUUUUUUUUUUUUUUUUUUUUUUUUUCUCUGCCUCCGAAU
rnacentral:ribozyme from 1 species